AGUGAACGCUGGCGGUAGGCCUAACACAUGCAAGUCGAACGGCAGCACAGUAAGAGCUUGCUCUUAUGGGUGGCGAGUGGCGGACGGGUGAGGAAUACAUCGGAAUCUACUUUUUCGUGGGGGAUAACGUAGGGAAACUUACGCUAAUACCGCAUACGACCUACGGGUGAAAGCAGGGGAUCUUCGGACCUUGCGCGAUUGAAUGAGCCGAUGUCGGAUUAGCUAGUUGGCGGGGUAAAGGCCCACCAAGGCGACGAUCCGUAGCUGGUCUGAGAGGAUGAUCAGCCACACUGGAACUGAGACACGGUCCAGACUCCUACGGGAGGCAGCAGUGGGGAAUAUUGGACAAUGGGCGCAAGCCUGAUCCAGCCAUACCGCGUGGGUGAAGAAGGCCUGCGGGUUGUAAAGCCCUUUUGUUGGGAAAGAAAAGCAGCAGGUUAAUACCCCGCUGUUCUGACGGUACCCAAAGAAUAAGCACCGGCUAACUUCGU
rnacentral:rRNA from 1 species